rnacentral:lncRNA from 1 species
UUUACUUUCAGAUUGGGAAGACGGGACUGUUUUUACAUUUUAGUUAGAGGAAAAUAGAGGAAAGACUUGUACUCCACCUAAGCUUUUAUAAGUUCGGGAAGGACAAGUCUAUGUGCUCCACAACCCAGUGCAAAGCAGAAAUAAAAGAAGGCUUGCAGCUACCAGAAAGUCAUCAAGGCAUUAGUUUCUCUGAGAAGACAGAUCUGAAGAAAAUGCAAGAAAACGAGAAAAAAUAUCAACAAGGGCUAAGAAGUCUUCCUCCACUUUGCAGUGCAUACCUUAUGCAACAUACAUUACUCAUAUUGGAG